CCCAGCCAUUAUCCUCAUUUCAGAAAUUAUUGAAAUUGUGUAUUAAAGAAUAUUCAUUUUGAAAAAGUAACCAAAUCUUUAAAGGCUUCAGAGAAGCAGAUUUCUCUUGUAGCUUGUGGCAGCAUUUUCUCAGAACUGGACGGGGCCACCAGUAGCGUCCUUCAUUCCUAUAUCCGGGUGCUUGUUCCAUGCAGUCAUGGUAUUAGGUUCUGGGGAUGCUGCACACAGUGACACACACUCAGUCACUGCCCUGAUGGGGUUUUUACAA
rnacentral:lncRNA from 1 species